rnacentral:rRNA from 1 species
GACGAACGCUGGCGGCGUGCUUAACACAUGCAAGUCGAACGGAAAGGCCCUGCUUUUGUGGGGUGUUCGAGUGGCGAACGGGUGAGUAACACGUGAGUAACCUGCCCUUGACUUUGGGAUAACUUCAGGAAACUGGGGCUAAUACCGGAUAGGAGCUCCUGCUGCAUGGUGGGGGUUGGAAAGUUUCGGCGGUUGGGGAUGGACUCGCGGCUUAUCAGCUUGUUGGUGGGGUAGUGGCUUACCAAGGCUUUGACGGGUAGCCGGCCUGAGAGGGUGACCGGCCACAUUGGGACUGAGAUACGGCCCAGACUCCUACGGGAGGCAGCAGUGGGGAAUAUUGCACAAUGGGCGGAAGCCUGAUGCAGCAACGCCGCGUGCGGGAUGACGGCCUUCGGGUUGUAAACCGCUUUCGCCUGUGACGAAGCGUGAGUGACGGUAAUGGGUAAAGAAGUACCGGCUAACUACGUG